GCCCGGUAAGCUCAGACGGUAGAGCACGGGAAUUUAAAUCCUGAGGUCGAGGGUUAAAGUCCCUCAUCGUGCG
rfam:Daphnia pulex DAPPTscaffold_2429_Cont14177, whole genome shotgun sequence.